UUAAUAAACAAAAUUAAGCAAAAAAAACAUAUUUAAUAUCCCACAACAAAAUACAAAUAAUUCAAAUUAUAUUAUACAGUCAUCCAAAUACCAAAUACCAAAUCCUUAAUAUUACAAAUAACAAUAAUUCAAAUUCAAAUUAUAAAGAAAUGUAAUUUCUUUAAUUCUCUUCAUUUGUCUUUGUCACCUUGAAAACAAAAAUCCUACACCAAAAAGUAAAUAAAAUGUUAUUAACAUGCUGCAAUAUUGUAAAAUUUCAAAAAUCAAAUAUAUAGCAAAUUUGUAGCAUUUUCAAGGAAAUAAUAAUUGAACAAGAUAAAAACUUUACCUAACAAUAUUUCAAAAAUCAAAUCUAUUCAUCAUGUAUGCCAAAUUCUAACCCAGCAAUAUUCCUAAUGCACAAUAUUCCAAUGCACAAUAUUAACAAUACAACAUAAUAAAUUAUAAAUUCUAAUACUAAAAAAAAAUUAAUCCAAUAUUUGUGGGGGCUUCUUCCUUAUCCUACAGAUAAUUUUUAACACCAUAAUCGAUUUAUACAUACUUUCAUAAUAUUUUCCGAACAAUACAAAACAUUUUCUAAACUAUAAUCUCAUAAUAUUCUACAAUACAAAAUUUCUCAAUAAUUCAACCAUAAUCUCAUGAUAUUAUCCACAAAAGCACCAGCAGAUGAGUUUAGCAUUGUGUUACCAUCACUCUUAGACUCUUAAAAGCUUCACUCGACAAGUUCUCUCAUUUUUUUUUUUGCUCACAAAAUAGAACUGUAGCAGCCGACUAUGGAGUUAAUAUCUGUCAAAACUGGAAUUGACUGUCAUCUAAAACUUCGAUAUCUGAAAUUAGGAACCAAAAUUACAAUUGAGAAAUCAAAUUCAAGUUCUGAGAAAAUUUAAACCCACAACAUAAUUGCAGAUCCCCUGCAUUCAACAUCCAAAUUGGAUAGCCAAUCACGAACUUCGAAGAAAAAUGAGUCAUUUUCAUAAUAUUUGCCACACUCAUCAUCGAAAAUUUAUCAUGAAAAACAAUCUUUUUCCAGAAAAAAUAAACAGAGACCAAAAUUUAAACAACAUAACAAGCUAAUGAAAACCAAUCCAAAACAAAUUGAAUGAGAAUUUACCAGAAAAGAAAGAACAAAGAAGACCAAAGAAACGCUGAGUUGGUGAUGGCUUGUUGAUUCGGGUCGCGGUCACCUGGGCACUGGUUCGGGUCGCGCUCGUCUGGGUUUGCUGCUGCUGCACCGCCGCACGGGUUAGCUACUGCUGUGGGUUCGAGUGGCUGCUAAUACGUUGCGCGGCUGAUGCUCCUGGGUUGCUGCCGAGUUGCGGGCUGCACUGGCGUGGCUGCGUCCCUCAAGCUCAAUCGAUGAUAGAUGCACUACCGGCGGCUGUUUUUGUUGCUUGAUUGCUUCACUUGGUAUGGGUAGGUGAGUGUGAUUCGUGUGAGAGAGGUAGAGAGCAACGAGAGCGGCUAAGUGAGGGGAGAAUUUUUAGGGAUUUAGCUUUAGGUUUCUGCUACUUUGUUUUUUUUUCUUUUGUUAUUUGCUUAAAAUUACAAUAUUAAUCUUCAAAUUUUAAAAAGCUUUCAAAUAAAUUUAAGGAUAAAAAAGUAAU
rnacentral:lncRNA from 1 species